UGUAGCCACAGGCAGACAAGCUCAGUGCUCAGGAACAUAAUGGCUGGAGCCUGCAGGCCCAUAUGCUCGCCAUCCUGCGAGGUGGAAGGCCAGCUCCGAUCAUCUCUAGCUGCUCAGGAUACAAUUGAUCAGGGUCUCCUAAACACUCCAACCUUUCCCAGCCCACUAUCACUUGAUGCAGAAGCACAGACCGCUAAUAGCAUGAGAUGAAUAAAAGGACCCAGAUCUCAUCAACACCUAUUUCAGCAUGAAAUACCCUCCCAUGCAGCUGUGUAGAAGCCCUUCUGGAUAUGCAAAUUACAGGCAUAAUCCCUUUUUCUGCUGCAGUGCAGAUCCAGACAGCCAUCCACAGUUCCUGACCAGCUAAAGUGCUCUUACAAGAUUCCCAGCUCAGCAGAGGACCACACCAUGAUGCUUAUGGAUGCAUCCAGCUCUCAGCUAAUUCUACAAACUGCCUAUGCACCUACAUGCCAUUUUCUUUGGACAAGCAUCUACAUCAGGUGCUGCAACCCCUUAGGCAGGCAUGUAAACUAGGUAUUACAGUAUGAGACUGGACUUCCAAUCCAGAAUUUGAAGCUGUCCUGCAAGAUGAUUUUGAAGACACUUCUGAGUGCCUCUCUUUAAAAUGCUAAGACAGGUAACAUUCACAGCGCAUUGGAAGUAAGACAGCAAUUAGUUCUGGGUGCUUGUGAAUAAAAAGUGCUUUACUGAAGACACUAAGAGACUCAAUAAAUGAGCUGCUAAAUGAA